rnacentral:rRNA from 1 species
AUUGAACGCUGGCGGCAUGCCUUACACAUGCAAGUCGAACGGUAACAGGUCUUCGGAUGCUGACGAGUGGCGAACGGGUGAGUAAUACAUCGGAACGUGCCUAGUAGUGGGGGAUAACUACUCGAAAGAGUGGCUAAUACCGCAUGAGGUCUACGGAUGAAAGCAGGGGAUCGCAAGACCUUGUGCUACUAGAGCGGCCGAUGGCAGAUUAGGUAGUUGGUGGGAUAAAAGCUUACCAAGCCGACGAUCUGUAGCUGGUCUGAGAGGACGAUCAGCCACACUGGGACUGAGACACGGCCCAGACUCCUACGGGAGGCAGCAGUGGGGAAUUUUGGACAAUGGGCGCAUGCCUGAUCCAGCAAUGCCGCGUGCAGGAUGAAGGCCUUCGGGUUGUAAACUGCUUUUGUACGGAACGAAAAGCCCCGGGUUAAUACCCUGGGGUCAUGACGGUACCGUAAGAAUAAGCACCGGCUAACUACGUGCCAGCCGCCGCGGUAA